UGCUAAACUCAAGCAUACAUUUAACGUAUUUCUAAAAAGAGCACUAGAGGUACGCUGGGAAAAAAUAUAUGUUUAAUUACACAUUUAAAAAAAAAGUAUGUUAAACACAAGCAUACUUUUACAGAGGUUUUAGUGUAUUUAGAAAAAAACAUAUAUUUUUUUAAACAUGUACAUUAAUUUUAAUAGGCUAACAUUGCAAUUUCAACAUCAUAUCAUUGAACUUGCAUUAUAUAUUGAUUUCACAAAGUUAGUCCACAUAAAUUUGUUAGUGUUUAUAUUCAAACAACACACGUGACGGACCUGACUAAACCUCAUUGGUUCUUGGGAUUCAGUACGUCACAUUGGCUUCCUGAUUCAGUUGUUCGAUACACAACGUGCGUGAUCGUUGGUAAAUGUGGAUUAAAAGUUGAAACUAAAACUGUUAAAUUAUAUAUAGUGAUCAUCAGAGGACUUGGCUGAAACAACGCGAUUCACAUGGAUUACUUCGGCGAUGUUUUUUAUUGCUGUUGCGAUUAACUUUUUGAAAUGUGAGCAGUUUUUAAGUUAUCAAGUGGAUCUGACAUCGAGGGGAAAUAUACGUUUCUUGGAUUUCAUUAAAGUACAUCGGUUUUUGUUUGAAGAUGAAUGAGAGAACAUGAGGAAAUCAUAACAGCCUGUCUUUUUUUAGCACAGCGGCAUUCAAAUUGACCAAUCAGAGCCGAGAAUAUCUAAUAAGUCGAAGUAGAGAUGAACAGAUGAAGAUACAGCCCGUAAAAAUACUUAUUCUUGGUGAGUGCCAUGUAGCGACGGAUCAAACGGACACUCAUGUCAAGCUUGAUGAGGACACAGUCAAAGCUUUAAAAGACCUUGUGAUUAAGUCUUCAGUGUCUGAAUGGCAAGAAGAAGUGACCCUCCACUUAAACGUGACAUUUAAACUGCUCUGUGUUUUGGUUCAGCCAUUUGUAGGUUUAUCUCGAGUAAGUUCAAAUGCACUUCUGCAUUUGUCCAGUAACUUUUUGUUUAGAGAAUUACAUCAUUAUGAUUAUAUAAUUAUUCAAUGGUUGCAUAUUCAUAGUGUACUUUUCAUAUUGAUGUAUUAAUGUUCCACAAUUUGAUAAAAGUAGCUCAUUGCAUUUCACUGAUCUUUGUUUUAUAUUGUAAACUCAUUUCAAUAGCAGUAAAUACAUACUUAGUUGUUUCUUUAACAUUUAAUUAGUUGUUAAUGAUGGAAGAAACCGGUUCGUAUGUAUGAAUACAGAAUAGGUAUCAUUUUAGAAUGAGUUAAAACAUGUUUUGGUGGCAAACAUGCAGGUAAAAUAGUACAUGUAUAACAUUCUAAUAGUAAACUUGACUGUAAUUCAAAUGUCACAUACAGUACAUUAGAAAUUAUUUAUUUUAUGUAUACAAAUGUGUGGGCAAUAUAUUAUUAUUUUAUUUUGUAUGCUAUAUUAUUUAUGUAAUAUUAUUAUAUCUGAAAUUAUUAAAUUACAUUUAUAAAUGUUUAAAAGGUGGGUUCAAAUGUGCUUCAAGUUGUAACUGAAUACAAUUUUAGAAAAUAGCACA